UGGGAACGUACCCUUCAGUUCGGAACAACCCAGGGAAACUUGGGCUAAUACCGGAUACGUCCGUAAGGAGAAAGAUUUAUCGCUGAAGGAUCCNCGCCG
rnacentral:rRNA from 1 species